GAUGAAGAACGCAGCAAAAUGCGAUAAGUAAUGUGAAUUGCAGAAUUCAGUGAAUCAUCGAAUCUUUGAACGCACAUUGCGCCCGCCAGUAUUCUAGCGGGCAUGCCUGUUCGAGCGUCAUUUCAACCCUCAAGCACAGCUUGGUGUUGGGACUCGCGUUAAUUCGCGUUCCCCAAAUUGAUUGGCGGUCACGUCGAGCUUCCAUAGCGUAGUAGUAAAACCCUCGUUACUGGUAAUCGUCGCGGCCACGCCGUUAAACCCCAACUUCUGAAUGUUGACCUCGGAUCAGGUAGGAAUACCCGCUGAACUUAAGCAUAUCAAUAAGCGGAGGA
rnacentral:misc_RNA from 1 species